rnacentral:lncRNA from 10 species
CUGGACUUGCCUCCUUCUGUCUGUUCUCCAACAUCAUCCAGAAUGAUGCUAUGAAAACACAAGUCAGAUUCUGGUCACUUCUCUGCUCAAAACCCCUCAGUGGCUCUCCAUUUCACUGAGUUAAGCUGAAGCCUUUAAAAUGGGCCCAGAGAUACCUUCUAUCCCCCUGAGCUGUCUGUCUCUUCUCUUCCUGGGGCUCACUCAGCUCUAGCCACUCUGGUCUCUUUGUUGUUUCAGGAACUCACCAGAUACUCUCCUUCCUCAGAGCCUUUUCACUGACUGUUUCCUGGGCCUUAAACACUCUUCCCCCAAGUUAUCCACGAUUCCCUCCCUAACCUCCUUUCAUUCGUUCAACACAUUAUUACUGAGAGCUUACAAUGAGCCAGGCCCUGUUCUAGUUGCUGGGGACACAACUUCAAACAAAACAGAUACAAGUCCUUGCCCUCAAGGAGCUGACAUUCUUUGGCCAGGAGUCUGAGGCUGCAGUGCACUAUGAUCGCACCUGUGAAUAGCCACAACACUCCAGCCUGGUCAACAUAGUGAAACCUUGUCUCUUAAAAAAAAAAAAACUAAAAUUGCUCACACACACACACACAC